rnacentral:rRNA from 1 species
UACGUAGGGUGCGAGCGUUGUCCGGAAUUAUUGGGCGUAAAGGGCUCGUAGGCGGUUUGUCGCGUCGGGAGUGAAAACCUUGGGCUUAACUCAGGGCUUGCUUUCGAUACGGACAGACUAGAGGUAUGCAGGGGAGAACGGAAUUCCAGGUGUAGCGGUGAAAUGCGUAGAUAUCUGGAGGAAUACCGGUGGCGAAGGCGGCAUCCUGGACCGGCAUUGACGCUGAGGAGCGAAAGCCAGGGGAGCAAACGGG